GUCUCCGUGGCUUGGUCGGGAGAACAUCCGACUAUGGUGCGGUAGAACUCGGGUUCUAUCCCCGGUGAAGACA